rnacentral:rRNA from 1 species
GACGAACGCUGGCGGCGUGCUUAACACAUGCAAGUCGAACGGUAAGGCCCUUCGGGGUACACGAGUGGCGAACGGGUGAGUAACACGUGGGUGAUCUGCCCUGCGCUUCGGGGUAAGCCUGGGAAACUGGGUCUAAUACCGGAUAGGACCACUGCCUGCAUGGGUGGUGGUGGAAAGCUUUUGCGGUGUGGGAUGGGCCCGCGGCCUAUCAGCUUGUUGGUGGGGUGAUGGCCUACCAAGGCGACGACGGGUAGCCGGCCUGAGAGGGUGACCGGCCACACUGGGACUGGGAUACGGACCAGACUCCUACGGGAGGCAGCAGUGGGGAAUAUUGCACAAUGGGCGCAAGCAUGAUGCAGCAACGCGGCGUGAGGGAUGACGGCCUUCGGGUUGUAAACCUCUUUUAGUAGGGAAGAAGCGAAAGUGACGGUACCUGCAGAAAAAGCACCGGCUAACUACGUGCCAGCAGCCGCAGUAA